rnacentral:rRNA from 1 species
CAUGCAAGUCGAACGGUAACGACAGAUCAAUCCUUCGGGUGCGAUUUGGGCGACGAGUGGCGAACGGGUGAGUAACGCAUGAGAAUUUGCCGUGCAGUGCGGAAUAACCUGGGGAAACCCAGGCUAAUACCGCAUAUCUUCUACGGAAGAAAGGGGGCCUAUCCUUGGAAGCUCUCGCUGCACGAGAAGCUCAUGUCCGAUUAGCUUGUUGGUAGGGUAAUGGCCUACCAAGGCUCUGAUCGGUAGCUGGUCUGAGAGGAUGAUCAGCCACACUGGGACUGAGAUACGGCCCAGACUCCUACGGGAGGCAGCAGUGGGGAAUAUUGGACAAUGGGGGAAACCCUGAUCCAGCAAUACCGCGUGUGUGAAGAAGGCCUGCGGGUUGUAAAGCACUUUCGUCAGGGAAGAAAUGCAUCUGGUUAAUACCUGGAUGCUAUGACGUUAUCUGAAUAAGAAGCACCGGCUAAUUCCGUGCCAGCAGCCGCGGUAAUACGGAAGGUGCGAGCGUUAAUCGGAAUUACUGGGCGUAAAGCGUACGUAGGCGGUUUGAUAUGUCGGAUGUGAAAUCCUCGGGCUUAACCUGAGAACUGCAUUCGAAAC